ensembl:lncRNA
GGGUUAGGAAGAUCCCCUGGAGAAGGGAAAGGCUACCCACUACAGUAUUCUGGCCUGGAGAAUCCCACGAACUGUAUUAUAGUCCAUGGGGUCGCAAAGAGUCAGACACAACUGAGCGACUUUCACUACACUUCACAGCUUUUCAUUUAAGACCCCUGGCAAACUGACCUCUUCUUAACUUUCCAGCCGUAGGUGGAUCUGGGAAGCUAAAGCCUGAGUUGGAAUCUAGGCUUCACUGGAUCUGAACUGUGAAACCCUAGGGAAUGUAUAUAACCUCAGUGCCCUUUGGUUUUCUUAUCUGUGAUGUGGAAAUAAUUAUCCCUGCCUUAUCAACUUCACAAGAAUGUUUGAAGUCACUCAGUUGUGUCUGACUCUUUGAGAGCCCAUGGACUGUAGCCCACCAGGCUCCUCUGUCCAUGGGAUUUCCCAGACAAGAAUACUGGAGUGGGUGGCCAUUUCCUACUCCAGGGGAUCUUCCCGACCCAGGGAUGGAACCCGCAUCUCCUGCGACUCCUGCAUCUCCUGCGUUGGCAGGCAGAUUCUUUCCUGCUGAGAGCACCCGAUUUAUUAUCUGGGGCUGAAACACACGGAAGGAACAAAGGGCCCUGGGGACCUUUGUGACCCAGCUGCUCCCUCUCUGUGCGGAGCCGGAGCCGAGGCCUUGCGUUCUCAGAGCCGCCCUUUUCUGACUUUGUAGGAGGCAACUACCCUCCUCAUCUACCCCUCCACCCCAAAGGUUAUAAUCUGGGGCCACACAUUCCUCAGGC